GGCAGGCGUGUGUGGGCGGGGUGAGCCACUGAGGGGCAGGCGUGUGUGGGUGGGGUGAGCCACGGAGGCACCAGCGGAGGUCCAGGCCUCUGUCAUGAGACCAGAGUGAAGCUGUUAUUGCAAGAACAAAUCCAGCCUCCUAAGAAGAACGUUAACCUCUCUUAGAGACCCCAUCACCUCUCAACUUUGUUCCACUGGGGACCACGUCUCACGUGUUGUCCCGUAGGCUGGAUUGGGCAGGACGGUGACCAUGGACCUGCGGCUGUUCGAAUGAUUUCAAGAUCCAGUCCUCAGCGGCGGGAGUCGCGGUCGGACGCUCAGUAGCCGCGGCAGCUCGUCCUUUCUCACCUCCCUUCAGUCGGGACAGGAGCGACUGGAGUUAAUAUUCUCAAGUUUGUGGAAGACCUUGCAGGAGCUUGAAGCUCUCCCAGAAGGUUCUCCCAGCUCUUCCCAGUGAGUCACGGCACCUACUUUGUGCACAAGGAUCAAACACGGCAUCUACUUUGUGCACAAGGAUCAAAGACAGGCCGACAGAGGUUCGGGUCUGACAGACCUGAGUCUUGGGCUUGGAUCAGCCUCCCUCUGGGAUCUGUGUUUGGCCGAGCGCAUAGCACGAUAGAGUCUAUAAAACACGGAAGACGGCCACUCUCGCGGGAACUGGUGUGCAGGCUCUUUUGUGUUUGCAGGCGGUAGAAGCAACCCAGCAACGUGGCUGAGCAGGGGUUCUAUGCCGAGAGCUGAGGACUGUGGGACACACGUGUGUGAGCGUUAACAGAGCUCUAGCAGGAGAAAUCGCUUCCCAAAAACCGGCUGGGGAAGAGCACACGUUCCCGUCCUGGACCACAGCAACCGUCAGGGUCCUCCUCUUCCCGGGGCAGCUGCACGUGGCUGGUUUGCGGCUAGAAGUGCACCGUGACUGCUCCGAGUCCUUUCGCACUGCUCCCUGGGUCACCCAUAAAACCAGUGGUUUGCACCCAUCUGCGGGCCGCCAAUAGCCAAGGUCUGCUAGGCACCCGGAGCCUACAAGUGGCACAACAGUAAACAUCCCCGCUAAUCGAAUAAUGCACUAUUUAAAGCUAAAUCAAUAGGCCCACAUUUCUAGCCUGAAUAAAACAUGAAUCCUUAAUAGAGUUAUAUCAGAAACUUAGGCCUAAUGGGUCCUGUGGUUCCAAGAUUUAACUCUAAAGAUGAAGUUGUAACGAUUACAAGAAUAGGAACAAAAUAAAAGGUUGAGGGGAAUGCAUUUGACAUUUGCUCCGGUGGAGUCAUGUGCAAAUGAAAAUCAAUUUACUUGAAGCAAAUCUUGCCUCUUUACAGGAUAGAUGCCGUGUGGUGUCAACAUUUAUUCUCUUCAAUAUUUAUUCACCUCAAAGGGGAGAGCAGAGCGUGCAGCCUCAGUGUAUGGCCUCGGGGUAUGGCCUGGAAAUAAAAGCGAAUCGAUUCAGCUUCCUGGCACAGGCGGCAAGGUCAAUUUAACCCACCUCCCCAAAGAAGUGGGCCAGGAGGAAUGCAUUACUCUCGGAGCAAGCUGGAAAGGUAGGGGCCUUCACGGCGCGGGGUAGGAGGAGAGGGACCCUGUCGGGCCUCUGGCUUUGCCUUGGGGACGCGUUUCACUUCCCCAGAGCAACUUCCCCAUUAGGGCACGGACGGAGGCCAGCGGCAGGGCCAGGGUCGUUUCUGCACAGCCUUGUUGAAGGAAAGGAGGAUGGUUUUCCCUUCCGGUUGCAGGUCCGCACUCCUCAGUGGGCCGCCAGCCCCCAGGCCGGUAGCUGCCUGUGGUGGGGAGGUGGACAGGCUGUGCUGAGCAAGUGAGGGCCCCUCUCGUGGGCCCUGUGUCCUUCCUGGGCACGGGCUGCUGCCCCUGCAGUUGCUCAACC